rnacentral:rRNA from 1 species
ACCGGAGCUAAUACCAGAUAACAUGUUGAACCGCAUGGUUCAACAGUGAAAGACGGUCUUGCUGUCACUUAUAGAUGGAUCCGCGCCGCAUUAGCUAGUUGGUAAGGUAACGGCUUACCAAGGCAACGAUGCGUAGCCGACCUGAGAGGGUGAUCGGCCACACUGGAACUGAGACACGGUCCAG